rnacentral:rRNA from 1 species
CCUACGGGAGGCAGCAGUGAGGAAUAUUGGUCAAUGGGCUUACGCCUGAACCAGCCAAGUCGCGUGAGGGAAGACUGCCCUAUGGGUUGUAAACCUCUUUUGUCAGGGAGCAAUUGGCGCUACGUGUAGCGUUAUCGAGAGUACCUGAAGAAAAAGCAUCGGCUAACUCCGUGCCAGCAGCCGCGGUAAUACGGAGGAUGCGAGCGUUAUCCGGAUUUAUUGGGUUUAAAGGGAGCGUAGGCGGGGAUGCAAGUUGGGUGUCAAAACUACCGACUCAACUGGUAGUCGCACUCAAAACUGCAGCUCUUGAGUGAAGUAGAGGCAGGCGGAAUUCCUAGUGUAGCGGUGAAAUGCGUAGAUAUUAGGAGGAACACCAGUGGCGAAGGCGGCCUGCUGGGCUUUUACUGACGCUGAGGCUCGAAAGUGUGGGGAGCAAACAGGAUUGGAUACCCUAGUAGUC